rnacentral:rRNA from 1 species
AAAGCGUGCGCAGGCGGUUUUGUAAGACUGUCGUGAAAUCCCCGGGCUCAACCUGGGAAUGGCGAUGGUGACUGCAUGGCUAGAGUACGGUAGAGGGGGAUGGAAUUCCGCGUGUAGCAGUGAAAUGCGUAGAUAUGCGGAGGAACACCGAUGGCGAAGGCAAUCCCCUGGACCUGUACUGACGCUCAUGCACGAAAGCGUGGGGAGCAAACAGGAUUAGAUACCCGUGU